rnacentral:rRNA from 1 species
CAGAUUCCUUACGGGAGGCAGCAGUNGNAUCUUCCGCAAUGACGAAGUCUGANGAGCACGCCGCUGNNUGAUGAAGGUNUUCGGAUCGUAAACUNUGUUGUUAGGGAAGAACAAGUACCGUUCGAAUAGGGCGGUACCUUGACGGUACCUAACCCAGAAAGCCACGGCUAACUACGUGCCAGCAGCCGCGGUAAUACGUAGGUGGCAAGCGUUNUCCGGGAAUUAUUGGGCGUAAAGCGCGCGCAGGCGNUUUCUUAAGUCUGAUGUGAAAGCCCCCCGGNUCAACCGGGGAGGGUCAUUGGAAACUGGGGAACUUGAGUGCAGAAGAGGAGAGUGGAAUUCCACGUGUAGCGGUGAAAUGCGUAGAGAUGUGGAGGAACACCAGUGGCGAAGGCGACUCUCUGGUCUGUAACUGACGCUGAGGCGCGAAAGCGUGGGGAGCGAACAGGAUUAGAUACCCUGGUAGUCCACGCCGUAAACGAUGAGUGUUAAGUGUUAGAGGGUUUCCGCCCUUUAGUGCUGCAGCAAACNCAUUAAGCANUCCNCCUGGGGAGUACGGUCGCAAGACUGAAANUCAAAGGAAUUGACGGGGGCCCGCNCAAGCGGUGGANCAUGUGGUUUAAUUGGAAGCAACGNGAAGANCCUUACCAGGUCUUGACAUCNUNUGACAACCCUAGAGAUAGGGCUUCCCCUUCGGGGGCAGAGUGNCAGGUGGUNCAUGGUNGUCNUCAGCUCGUGUCGUGAGAUGUUGGGUUAAGUCCCGCAACGAGCGCAACCCUUGAUUUUAGUUGCCAGCAUUCAGUUGGGCACUNUAAGGUGACUGCCGGUGACAAACCGGAGGAAGGUGGGGAUGACGUCAAAUCAUCAUGCCCCUUAUGACCUGGGCUACNCACGUGNUNCAAUGGGCAGAACAAAGGGCAGNGAAGCCGCGAGGNUAAGCCAAUCCCACAAAUCUGUUNUCAGUUCGGAUCNCAGUNUGCAACUNGACUGCGUGAAGCNGGAAUCGNUAGUAAUCGCGGAUCANCAUGCCGCGGUGAAUACGUUCCCGGNCCUUGUNCNCACCGCCCGUCNCACCNCGNGAGUUUGUANCACCCGAAGUCGGUGAGGUAACCUUUGGAGCCAGCCGCCGAAGUGA